rnacentral:rRNA from 1 species
UACGUAGGGGGCAAGCGUUGUCCGGAAUUAUUGGGCGUAAAGAGCGCGUAGGCGGUCCGAUAAGUCGGCUGUGAAAGUCAGGGGCUCAACCCUUGAAAGCCGGCCGAUACUGUCGGACUAGAGUCCGGAAGAGGCGAGUGGAAUUCCCGGUGUAGCGGUGAAAUGCGCAGAUAUCGGGAGGAACACCAAUAGCGAAGGCAGCUCGCUGGGACGGUACUGACGCUAAGGCGCGAAAGCGUGGGGAGCGAACAGG